rnacentral:rRNA from 1 species
GCGGUGGAGUAUGUGGUUUAAUUCGAUGAUACGCGAGGAACCUUACCUGGCUCGACGUAAGAUGACUGUAGGUGAAAGCUUACAUCUCUUCGGAGCAUUUUACGAGGUGCUGCAUGGUUGUCGUCAGCUCGUGCCGUGAGGUGUCGGUUAAGUCCCAUAACGAGCGCAACCCUACCUUUAGUUGCCAUCAGGUAAUGCUGGGGACUCUAAAGGAACUGCCUACGCAAGUAGUGAGGAAGGCGGGGAUGACGUCAAAUCAGCACGGCCCUUACGUCCAGGGCUACACACGUGCUACAAUGGCCGAUACAGAGGGCAGCUACCUGGUGACAGGAUGCAAAUCUCCAAAGUCGGUCUCAGUUCGGAUCGGAGUCUGCAACCCGACUCCGUGAAGUUGGAUUCGCUAGUAAUCGCGCAUCAGCCAUGGCGCGGUGAAUACGUUCCCGGGCCUU